rnacentral:rRNA from 1 species
UACGUAGGUGACGAGCGUUAUCCGGAAUUACUGGGCGUAAAGCGCACGCAAGCGGUCCUACAAGUCUGGCGUGAAAUUCUCUGGCUUAACCAGGGGCGGUCGCUGGAGACUGUAGGACUUGAGGCGAUGAGAGGGGUGCAGAAUUCCCGGUGUAGUGGUGGAAUGCGUAGAUAUCGGGGGGAAUACCAGUGGCGAAAGCGGCACCCUGGCGUCGUACUGACGCUCAUGUGCGAAAGCGUGGGGAGCGAACAGG